rnacentral:rRNA from 1 species
UCUCCUGGAAAACGGGUGGUAAUGCCGGAUGUUCCAGUUGAUCGCAUGGUCUUCUGGGAAAGCUUUCGCGGUAUGGGAUGGGGUCGCGUCCUAUCAGCUUGACGGCGGGGUAACGGCCCACCGUGGCUUCGACGGGUAGCCGGCCUGAGAGGGCGACCGGCCACAUUGGGACUGAGAUACGGCCCAGACUCCUACGGGAGGCAGCAGUGGGGAAUAUUGCACAAUGGGCGCAAGCCUGAUGCAGCGACGCCGCGUGAGGGAUGGAGGCCUUCGGGUUGUAAACCUCUUUUAUCGGGGAGCAAGCGUGAGUGAGUUUACCCGUUGAAUAAGCACCGGCUAACUACGUGCCAGCAGCCGCGGUAAUACGUAGGGUGCAAGCGUUAUCCGGAAUUAUUGGGCGUAAAGGGCUCGUAGGCGGUUCGUCGCGUCCGGUGUGAAAGUCCAUCGCUUAACGGUGGAUCCGCGCCGGGUACGGGCGGGCUUGAGUGCGGUAGGGGAGACUGGAAUUCCCGGUGUAACGGUGGAAUGUGUAGAUAUCGGAAAAGAACACC